rnacentral:lncRNA from 1 species
GGAAUGAAAAGGACAUGCUUGGAACACAAGGUUGGGAUGAAAUUGAAGAGUUCGAGAUUUAAGGUUUCCUACUUGAAGUAGGAAAGCUAAGCCUAAAAGUUUCCAUUUUGGGUUGAUCUUUCCUAAAUUGGAAUUGGCAACCAAAGUUUCUAAAGUUGGAAGUUUCUAUUCUUGGAGGUUUCCAUUUUCGUGAGUUUCUAUUCUCGGCUUUGGGCUUUAGAUGACUUAAACCCUAAUUCCUUGUGAACCCUAAGUCCAUGCCGCAUCCUAGGGCCUAAUCAUUCAAUUUCUGCCAUGUUAAACCCUAAUCCAUUUCUCCUAAGCCCAUGCCGCACAUGUCCAUCCUAGAAGCCCUAUUUCACAAACCUUAACCCUAGUCCACUUAAGUGCCGCACCUAAACCCUAGCCCAUUGUUUCAAUCUGAUUUAAUUAGGGUUUUAGGUGCCUAUAUAUAGGUGUUUUACCCCCUUUGCCGCACAUCACAUCCCUCUCCACAAAUCAGAAAUCAUCUAAACCCUAUUCCCCCCACCUUGCCGCAGCCACCAUCACCCAUACACCUCCUUGCCGCAGCCUUCAUCCAUUCCAGCCACUUCCCAACCUUGCCGCAGCCACCAUCCACCUCCAUACACCAUUCUACACUUCCAUACACCACCCACACACCUUGCCGCACCACCAUAUCAUCCUAACUCCAUUCUUAAACCAAAACCACAUCCAAAAACCCCCAAAACCAUCUCUGCCGCAGCAAGGAGAAGAGAAGAGGAGCUUGACGUGCAGAAAUUCAAAGUGGAAUUCUUGGGCGUUUUAGGUGUAAUCUUUCUUAUGUCUUCGAUGUUUCAAUUCAAUAAACUUUAUGUUGUGAGUAUGAGAAACUAAACCCCCUUGGUUGGGGGGUGAUUCGAAACCAUGUACAUGCUUGCAAUUUGAUUCGAUUACAUUCAGUUGUUAUUUCAUAAGUUGUGGAUUCAAUU